AAAACCCUUCAAGGAAAUACUGCAUAUAGCAUUGUUCCUACUCUCCUCGAGUGUUUGAAGGACCCCUUAGAAGGAGCGUGCACCGGGAGACAGGAGGGGGGAAGCAGGAAAAAAAAUAAGAAAUAUCAAGGAGACACGGUCAAGCAUGAAUCAUUUCGGUCUUUCGGUUGAACCUGAGGCAAGAUCAGAUUUCACAUCCACCCUCGGCAGGGCUGGCAUUUUCACACACGCUGCAAACCCCUUGGCGUGGAAAACACCGCUGAUGAGAAGAACGGUUACUUGUGCUAAAAGAAACGAGUGCCCAGAUCCUAGGGGCAGGCUGGGAGGUACCGAGAUCUCUGAUUUUUCACGUCUCCUGCUGUGUUCAUGCUGGCUCAGGCGUGAUGCAUGUGCCAAACCGCAAAGCCUAUGGAGCACAGGUCCUUGCAGAUGAGGAGAGCUCGAGCCUGCGACUUCCGUAAAUUAAAGAGCUCUGUGUCUUCGUGUGUCUGUGCACUGACUGUUUUCAGAGGGUUUUAGCUGUGGUUUGCCGCUCAGUAUUGAAAGGCGUUAUUGAUACAUACAGGAGAAAAAAUGAGAACGAGAUUUUUUUUUCCUUUUCAUUCAUUUUAAGUAUAAUGGUUUCUCUUUGGUUUUCCCUCUUCUAUUCUGUCCCCUACUAAUAGCGUGGGCACCGCCGUGGGAGGAGGACUGUUGCACUUCUCCACCGCAUUGACACGUGCUCUGUGUUUGCUGCAGCCCGGAGUACCAGGCUGUUGAGAAGUAUUCGAUCCCAAAUGUAUACAUUGAUGGUUCUUGGACUGCCCUGGCAUAAAGAAUCCACCUGGUUAAGUACAGUGACCUUGCUUCCUCCGAAAUAAAGAAUUUGAAAAUGAAUGACUCAUUUCCAUGAAUGUCUUUCCUGAUCAAUACACACUGAGGCUUUUAUUCUAUUCCUGUAUUUCUAGAAUGGCGGCAAUAUUUAUAGUGGGAACGCAAUUAUGCCUUAGAAAGCAUACUAAUGCAUAUUAAAGUCUUGAGUGUUACCCGAGACAUAAAGGUGUUGCCUAAUGUGCCAGUAGGGCAGACUGAAAGUCCCGGUCUCCCAGAUGAAGAAGUAUUUGCUAAAAAGUUCAGAACUACUGUGUGAAGAGCCGUCAUUAUCAGACAAUAUGUGAAAAACAUCGUUUCCCUUGCUCAUUUUUAGUGAAAGAAACGUAUCUUCAUAGCAUCCAGAUGAGACUGGAGACGUACACUUUUUCUGAGCUGCAACCGUCCAAACCAGCGUUAAAAAAAUGCUGCCCGGCUCUCGCCGUCCCAUCCUGCCAAGUGCUGUGCACCUCCUAGAGGCACUUGGAAUUGCUCUUAUUUAAUUAGGUCUUAUUUACUUAUUGCAUUCCGGUAACACAUGGGUUGCAACACGCUCUGCAGCGGGGGGAAGCCGCGGUCGGUGCCUGGGGAGCUGCCCACCGGCUCCUCGGCCCUGCAGCCGGGGCAGCAGCGGAGCCAGAGCGCGGAGCCGCCCCUCGGCAUCCCGAAGCACCUCUUCUCUUUGCCUGGGGGUGUCCGGAUCUCAGCUGGCCUCGUGCGGAAAGCAGAAGCGGAUAAAGGACGCUUUCGGGGGGGGAGGAGGAGCAGUCGGACACUGCUCCCACGCAGCAGC